rnacentral:lncRNA from 1 species
UCGAGUUGGACAGCCCUUCUGUGACUGCUGAGCAGGUAGCUGCCAUCGAGCAGAGUGUCAAUCAGAAAAUCCGAGACCGGCUGCCCGUGAGUGUGCGAGAGCUGAGCCUCGAUGACCCUGAGGUGGAGCAGCCCUGUUACCUUCCCUCUGUUCCAGGUGAGGGGCCGGGGCUUGCCCGACGAUCAUGCUGGGCCCAUUCGAGUUGUUACCAUCGAGGGUGUUGACUCCAACAUGUGCUGUGGGACGCACGUAAACAAUCUCAGUGACCUUCAGGUCAUUAAGAUUCUGGGCACUGAGAAAGGGAAAA